UACGUAGGGGCCUAGCGUUGUCCGGAAUUAUUGGGCGUAAAGAGCUCGUAGGCGGUUCGGCAAGUCGGAUGUGAAAUCUCCACGCUCAACGUGGAGGGGCCAUUCGAAACUGCCGUGACUCGAGUCCGGUAGGGGAGUGUGGAAUUCCCGGUGUAGCGGUGAAAUGCGCAGAUAUCGGGGGGAACACCAGUAGCGAAGGCGGCACUCUGGGCCGGUACUGACGCUGAGGAGCGAAAGCAUGGGGAGCGAACAGG
rnacentral:rRNA from 1 species